UACGUAGGUGGCAAGCGUUGUCCGGAUUUACUGGGCGUAAAGAGCGCGCAGGCGGUCGUCCAAGUCGCGUGUGAAAGCCCCCGGCUCAACUGGGGAGGGUCACGCGAUACUGGUCGACUCGAGGGCAGGAGAGGGUAGUGGAAUUCCCGGUGUAGUGGUGAAAUGCGUAGAUAUCGGGAGGAACACCAGUGGCGAAGGCGACUACCUGGCCUGUUCUUGACGCUGAGGCGCGAAAGCUAGGGGAGCAAACGGG
rnacentral:rRNA from 1 species